UACAGAGGUCUCAAGCGUUGUUCGGAUUCAUUGGGCGUAAAGGGUGCGUAGGCGGCGCGGUAAGUCGGGUGUGAAAUCUCGGAGCUUAACUCCGAAAACUGCAUUCGAUACUGCCGUGCUUGAGGACUGGAGAGGAGACUGGAAUUUUACGGUGUAGCGGGUGAAAAUGCGUAGAUAUCGUAAGGAAGACCGUGCGAAGGC
rnacentral:rRNA from 1 species